AUAAUGGGUCAGCGACUUAUAUUCUGUAGCAAGGUUAACCGAAUAGGGGAGCCGAAGGGAAACCGAGUCUUAACUGGGCGUUAAGUUGCAGGGUAUAGACCCGAAACCCGGUGAUCUAGCCAUGGGCAGGUUGAAGGUUGGGUAACACUAACUGGAGGACCGAACCGACUAAUGUUGAAAAAUUAGCGGAUGACUUGUGGCUGGGGGUGAAAGGCCAAUCAAACCGGGAGAUAGCUGGUUCUCCCCGAAAGCUAUUUAGGUAGCGCCUCGUGAAUUCAUCUCCGGGGGUAGAGCACUGUUUCGGCAAGGGGGUCAUCCCGACUUACCAACCCGAUGCAAACUGC
rnacentral:rRNA from 1 species